GCCGAAAUAGCUCAGUUGGGAGAGCGUUGGACUGAGAAUCUAAAAGUUCCUGGUUCGAUCCUUGGUUUCGGCA